UACGGGGGGGGCAAGCGUUGUUCGGAAUUACUGGGCGUAAAGCGCACGUAGGCGGCAUUGUAAGUGUCUGGUGAAAUCCCACGGCUCACCCGUGGAACUGCCAGGCAUACUGUGAUGCUCGAGUGUGGUAGGGGAGAGCGGAACUCCUGGUGGAGCGGUGAAAUGCGUAGAUAUCAGGAGGAACACCGGUGGCGAAGGCGGCUCUCUGGUCCACAACUGACGCUGAGGUGCGAAAGCUAGGGGAGCAAACGGG
rnacentral:rRNA from 1 species